AACGAACGCUGGCGGCAGGCUUAACACAUGCAAGUCGAACGAAGUCUUCGGACUUAGUGGCGCACGGGUGAGUAACACGUGGGAAUAUACCUCUUGGUGGGGAAUAACAUCGGGAAACUGAUGCUAAUACCGCAUACGCCCUUCGGGGAAGAUUUAUCGCCGAGAGAUUAGCCGCGUCCGAUUAGCUAGUUGGUGAGGUAAUGGCUCACCAAGGCGACGAUCGGUAGCUGGUCUGAGAGGAUGAUCAGCCACACUGGGACUGAGACACGGCCCAGACUCCUACGGGAGGCAGCAGUGGGGAAUAUUGGACAAUGGGCGAAAGCCUGAUCCAGCCAUGCCGCGUGAGUGAAGAAGG
rnacentral:rRNA from 1 species